rnacentral:rRNA from 1 species
AUAUAUGAAGGCCAGGUGAUGACCUUGCUUAUUUUCCGAGAGGUGGUGCAUGCCGGUCGUCAGUUCGUACCGUAGGCGUUCUGUUAAGUCAGCAACGAACGAGACCCUCAUCUUUAGUUGCAACUGGUAAGUUCGCUUACUAGGCACACUAGAGAAACCGCUGGCGAUAAGUCAGAGAAGGCGAGGGCAACGGUAGGUCAGUAUGCCCUGAAUCCCCCGGGCUACACGCGCGCUACAAAGGCUAGGACAAUGGGUUUCGACACCGAAAGGUGAAGGUAAUCCCGAAACCUAGUCAUAGUUCGGAUUGAGGGUUGUAACUCACCCUCAUGAAGUUGGAAUCCGUAGUAAUCGCGGAUCAACAUUCCGCGGUGAAUACGCCCCUGCUCCCUGCACACACCGCCCGUCAAGCCACGCGAAUUGGGUCUGAGUGAGGAUACAGCUAGUUGCUGCGUUCAAACUUAGGCUUAGUGAGCGGGGCUAAGUCGUAACAAGGUAUCCGUAGGUGAACCUGCAGAAGGAUCA